rnacentral:rRNA from 1 species
CAUUACUGAGUUUACGCCUAUAACCCUUUGUGAACAUACCUAUAACUGUGCUUCGGCGGGUAGGGUCUCCGCGACCCUCCCGGCCUCCCGCCUCCGGGCGGGUCGGCGCCCGCCGGAGGAUAACCAAACUCUGAUUUAACGACGUUUCUUCUGAGUGGUACAAGCAAAUAAUCAAAACUUUUAACAACGGAUCUCUUGGUUCUGGCAUCGAUGAAGAACGCAGCGAAAUGCGAUAAGUAAUGUGAAUUGCAGAAUUCAGUGAAUCAUCGAAUCUUUGAACGCACAUUGCGCCCCCAGCAUUCUGGCGGGCAUGCCUGUUCGAGCGUCAUUUCAACCCUCAAGCUCUGCUUGGUGUUGGGGCCCUACAGCUGAUGUAGGCCCUCAAAGGUAGUGGCGGACCCUCCCGGAGCCUCCUUUGCGUAGUAACUUUACGUCUCGCACUGGGAUCCGGAGGGACUCUUGCCGUAAAACCCCCCAAUUUUCCAAAGGUUGACCUCGGAUCAGGUA